AAUGAACGCGGCGGCAGGCCUAACACAUGCAAGUCGAACGGUAACAGGAAGNAGCUUGCUUCUUCGCUGACGAGUGGCGGACGGGUGAGUAAUGUCUGGGAAACUGCCUGAUGGAGGGGGAUAACUACUGGAAACGGUAGCUAAUACCGCAUAACGUCGCAAGACCAAAGAGGGGGACCUUCGGGCCUCUUGCCAUCGGAUGUGCCCAGAUGGGAUUAGCUNGUAGGUGGGGUAACGGCUCACCUAGGCGACGAUCCCUAGCUGGUCUGAGAGGAUGACCAGCCACACUGGAACUGAGACACGGUCCAGACUCCUACGGGAGGCAGCAGUGGGGAAUAUUGCACAAUGGGCGCAAGCCUGAUGCAGCCAUGCCGCGUGUAUGAAGAAGGCCUUCGGGUUGUAAAGUACUUUCAGCGGGGAGGAAGGGAGUAAAGUUAAUACCUUUGCUCAUUGACGUUACCCGCAGAAGAAGCACCGGCUAACUCCGUGCCAGCAGCCGCGGUAAUACGGAGGGUGCAAGCGUUAAUCGGAAUUACUGGGCGUAAAGCGCACGCAGGCGGUUUGUUAAGUCAGAUGUGAAAUCCCCGGGCUCAACCUGGGAACUGCAUCUGAUACUGGCAAGCUUGAGUCUCGUAGAGGGGGGUAGAAUUCCAGGUGUAGCGGUGAAAUGCGUAGAGAUCUGGAGGAAUACCGGUGGCGAAGGCGGCCCCCUGGACGAAGACUGACGCUCAGGUGCGAAAGCGUGGGGAGCAACAGAUA
rnacentral:rRNA from 1 species